AAAGAGAAGCGAGACGGAGACGUUAAGCGAAACCCAAAAAAGUAAGUNUCAGUUCGGAUUGAAGGCUGAAAUUCGCCUUCAUGAAGCCGGAAUUGCUAGUAAUGGCAGGUCAGCAUACUGCCGUGAAUACGUUCCCGGGCCUUGUACACACCGCCCGUCACACCAUGGGAGUUUGUAACGCCCAAAGUCGGUGGCCUAACCUUUAUGGAGGGAGCCGCCUAAGGCGGGACAGAUGACUGGGGUGAAGUCGUAACAAGGUACC
rnacentral:rRNA from 1 species